UACAGAGGGUGCGAGCGUUGUUCGGAAUUACUGGGCGUAAAGCGCGCGCAGGCGGCUCUUUAAGUCUACCCGUGAAAUGCCGGAGCUCAACCCCGUGCACGCCGGGGGAUACUGGAGAGCUGGAGACAUGUAGAGGCAAGCGGAAUUCCGGGUGUAGCGGUGGAAUGCGUAGAGAUCCGGAAGAACACCGGAGGCGAAGGCGGCUUGCUGGGCUUGGUCUGACGCUGAGGCGCGAAAGCGUGGGGAGCGAACAGG
rnacentral:rRNA from 1 species